UUGACUCCACAUAGACAUAAAUUUGUUGGAACAUGGAUUAAUCGAGUGCUACAUUUCGGUAACACGACGACUAAUCGGUUCGUGUUAUAAAUUUUUCUGUAUUUUUUUAUAUGUGAUAUUUUUAAUAUUUUCAAUAUGUUAUUUUUAUAUGUGAUAUUUUUUCUAUGUAUUUUUUUAUAUGUGUUAUUUUCAAUAUUUUUAGGAUUGAAUCUGCUCAUUGGAAGUUAAAGCAGAUGUUAG
rnacentral:lncRNA from 1 species